rnacentral:rRNA from 1 species
GGGGAAUAUUGCACAAUGGGCGAAAGCCUGAUGCAGCAACGCCGCGUGAGUGAUGAAGGUCUUCGGAUUGUAAAGCUCUGUCUUUUGGGACGAUAAUGACGGUACCAAAGGAGGAAGCCACGGCUAACUACGUGCCAGCAGCCGCGGUAAUACGUAGGUGGCGAGCGUUGUCCGGAUUUACUGGGCGUAAAGGGUGCGUAGGCGGAUGUUUAAGUGAGAUGUGAAAUACCCGGGCUUAACUUGGGUGCUGCAUUUCAAACUGGAUAUCUAGAGUGCAGGAGAGGAGAAUGGAAUUCCUAGUGUAGCGGUGAAAUGCGUAGAGAUUAGGAAGAACACCAGUGGCGAAGGCGAUUCUCUGGACUGUAACUGACGCUGAGGCACGAAAGCGUGGGUAGCAAACAGGAUUAGAUACCCUGGU